UAAGGUGGUUAUUGCGGCGGGGCUCACCUCUUCCCAUCCCGAACAGAGAAGUUAAGCCCGCCUGCGCAGAUGGUACUGCAUCAUUGUGGGAGAGUAUGUCGUCGCCUUUC
rnacentral:rRNA from 6 species